rnacentral:tRNA from 1 species
CAUGAGUUAGGUUAAAAUAAACCGAGGACCUGUGGAGUCCUAGAUCGUGAAAAAUGACUUAUGU